AUUCUCAUAGCUUAAUGGUUAGAGCGUUGACGCAUAAAGCUAAAGGUCCCGGGUUCGAUUCCCGGCGAGGGUG
rnacentral:tRNA from 1 species